AGUCGUGUUUUAUCCUCAAGCUCCGCCCCCUGGAAAGGAAAAAUCGGCUGCACUGUCCGCCAUUUUUGUCUCUCGCUUUGGAAAAUCUACUACCAUCUGGAGUUUUACACUUGAAGAUAAAUGCAGAGUUUAAGUGCAUUACCACCAUGCCACUGCAGUCCAGAUUACUCUCGCAGAUAGAUGUGCUAUCUGACAAACUAAUAAAGGUCUUCAAAAGGCGAGGAGGACAAAUAGGAAGAAGACUUCAGAACAUUCUGGAGCCCACGGCCCAGGCCACAGAUGAAGCCAUUAUCCAACGAUCUAAUAAGGAAAC